UACGGAGGGUGCUAGCGUUGUUCGGAAUCACUGGGCGUAAAGGGCGUGUAGGCGGUCUGUUAAGUCUGAUGUGAAAUCCCCUCGCUCAACGAGGGAACUGCGUCGGAUACUGGCAGACUUGAGUACCGGAGAGGAAGGUGGAAUUCCACGUGUAGCGGUGAAAUGCGUAGAUAUGUGGAAGAACACCGGUGGUGAAGACGGUUUACUGGGCUGAAACUGACGCUGAGGCGCGAAAGCAUGGGGAGCAAACAGG
rnacentral:rRNA from 1 species